GUCAGUGUGGUGUAGUGGUUAGAACAUUGGACUACAACUGGGAGACCAGGGUUCAGUUCCCCACGUGGCCA